GACGAACGCUGGCGGCGUGCUUAACACAUGCAAGUCGAACGGAAAGGCCCUGCUUUUGUGGGGUGCUCGAGUGGCGAACGGGUGAGUAACACGUGAGUAACCUGCCCUUGACUUUGGGAUAACUUCAGGAAACUGGGGCUAAUACCGGAUAGGAGCUCCUGCUGCAUGGUGGGGGUUGGAAAGUUUCGGCGGUUGGGGAUGGACUCGCGGCUUAUCAGCUUGUUGGUGGGGUAGUGGCUUACCAAGGCUUUGACGGGUAGCCGGCCUGAGAGGGUGACCGGCCACAUUGGGACUGAGAUACGGCGCAGACUCCUACGUGAGGCAGCAGUGGGGAGUAUUGCACAAUGGGCGGAAGCCUGAUGCAGCAACGCCGCGUGCGGGAUGACGGCCUUCGGGUUGUAAACCGCUUUCGCCUGUGACGAAGCGUGAGUGACGGUAAUGGGUAAAGAAGCACCGGCUAACUACGUG
rnacentral:rRNA from 1 species